rnacentral:rRNA from 1 species
UGGGGAAUAUUGGGCAAUGGGCGCAAGCCUGAUCCAGCAAUGCCGCGUGUGUGAAGAAGGCCUUCGGGUUGUAAAGCACUUUUAUCAGGAGCGAAACGCUGUCGGCUAAUACCCGGCGGAACUGACGGUACCUGAGGAAUAAGCACCGGCUAACUUCGUGCCAGCAGCCGCGGUAAUACGAAGGGUGCAAGCGUUAAUCGGAAUUACUGGGCGUAAAGCGUGCGUAGGCGGUUUCUUAAGUCUGCUGUGAAAUCCCCGGGCUCAACCUGGGAAUGGCAGUGGAUACUGGGAGGCUAGAGUGUGUCAGAGGGUGGUGGAAUUCCCGGUGUAGCGGUGAAAUGCGUAGAGAUCGGGAGGAACAUCAGUGGCGAAGGCGGCCACCUGGGACAACACUGACGCUGAGGCACGAAAGCGUGGGGAGCAAACAGGAUUAGAUACCCUGGUAGUCCACGCCCUAAAACGAUGCGAACUGGAUGUUGGUCUCAACUCGGAGAUCAGUGUCGAAGCUAACGCGUUAAGUUCGCCGCCUGGGGAGUACGGUCGCAAGACUGAAACUCAAAGGAAUUGACGGGGUCAUAGCUGUUUCCUG